UACGUAGGCAACAAGCGUUGUUCGGAGUUACUGGGCGUAAAGGGUGUGUAGGCGGUUGCUUAAGUUUGGUGUGAAAUCUCCCGGCUCAACUGGGAGGGUGCGCCGAAUACUGAGUGACUCGAGUGCGGGAGAGGAAAGUGGAAUUCCUGGUGUAGCGGUGAAAUGCGUAGAUAUCAGGAGGAACACCGGUGGUGUAGACGGCUUUCUGGACCGUAACUGACGCUGAAACACGAAAGCGUGGGUAGCAAACAGG
rnacentral:rRNA from 1 species